rnacentral:rRNA from 1 species
UACGUAGGGUGCAAGCGUUGUCCGGAAUUAUUGGGCGUAAAGGGCGCGCAGGCGGUACGGCACGUCCGUUGUGAAAUCGCUCGGCUCAACUGGGCGGGGUCAGCGGAUACGGCCGCACUCGAGCAAGCUAGGGGGCAAUGGAAUUCCCGGUGUAGUGGUGGAAUGCGUAGAUAGUCGGGAGGAACACCAGUGGCGAAGGCGGUUGCCUGGAGCUUUGCUGACGCUGAGGCGCGAAAGCGUGGGGAGCGAUCCGG